rnacentral:lncRNA from 1 species
UCUGCGGCCAUCAUGGGAUCGUGCUCUUCUCGCUCGUUGAGCUGGUCCCUUCGCCGUGGCCUGCUGGUGACGGUCUGGAGCGAUGCUGAGCCCGGGCCCAGCCUCUCAGCUCCGCCUUGUGCGCUGCACAGAUCUAGGGGAGCCUGGCGGGACGUUGACAACGUGGAAUAGGAGCAGUAUCAUCCCACCAUGAGGUUGGGGAUUUAAGAGUGGAAGAUUGCCAACAGCUGUGGCCUCCCAUGAGGGUGUCCCCUUUCAAGUUCUCAGAACGGACGCAGGACUGCAGAUCUGUGCUGGCAGCAGCAGAGGCUAUAUUCCCAGAGGAGUCUCCAGCCGGCCUGAAAGCAAAUAUCCUAAGUGACAUGUCUGCCAAUUUUGUUCUGGGUGGGCACAUUUGGUAAUCCUGUCUGUACCACAGGAUCUUCUAUGCCUUUUAAAAAUAAACAUUUGUUUAUAAACCAG